rnacentral:misc_RNA from 1 species
AACGCACGCCGCACCCACGGACGGACCGUGGGUACGCCUGUCCGAGCGUCGCCCCAACCUCGACCAAACCCACCCCUAGGGGCGGAGAGGUCGGAUCCUGGAUGCCCGAGGGCCUCGGCCGUCGGCCAUCCGAAAGGCAGGGAGACGGGAGCGUGCAGACCAGCCCUCCAGGAGCCUAGCAGGAAGCCCAGAGCUCACCGUUAGGAGCGGCCGGAGGCGGCGACGGUCCACGCCCGCGGUCCCCAGACGGGGACCUCCAGAGCGAGGUCUUUUCUUAAACCAAAACCUCGACCUCGGAUCAGGCGAGAGCACCCGCUGAACUUAA